rnacentral:rRNA from 1 species
UACAGAGGUCUCAAGCGUUGUUCGGAUUCAUUGGGCGUAAAGGGUGCGUAGGCGGCGCGGUAAGUCGGGUGUGAAAUCUCGGAGCUUAACUCCGAAACUGCAUUCGAUACUGCCGUGCUUGAGGACUGGAGAGGAGACUGGAAUUUACGGUGUAGCGGUGAAAUGCGUAGAUAUCAGGAAGAACACCAAUGGCGAAGGCAGCUCUCUGGGACGGUACUGACACUGAGACGCGAAAGCGUGGGGGAGCCGAACAGGAU